GACGAACGCUGGCGGCGCGCUUAACACAUGCAAGUCGAACGUGAAGCCCGGGCUUGCCCGGGUGGAAAGUGGCGAACGGGUGCGUAACACGUGAGCAACCUGCCCCGAAGACCGGGAUAACACCGGGAAACCGGUGCUAAUACCGGAUGCCCUCAUCAUGUCGCAUGGCGAGAUGAGGAAAUGGAUUCCGCUUCGGGAUGGGCUCGCGGCCUAUCAGCUUGUUGGUGAGGUAACGGCUCACCAAGGCAACGACGGGUAGCUGGUCUGAGAGGAUGUCCAGCCACACUGGGACUGAGACACGGCCCAGACUCCUACGGGAGGCAGCAGUGGGGAAUCUUGCACAAUGGGCGAAAGCCUGAUGCAGCGACGCCGCGUGCGGGAUGACGGCCUUCGGGUUGUAAACCGCUUUCAGCAGGGACGAUAGUGACGGUACCUGCAGAAGAAGCCCCGGCCAACUACGUGCCAGCCGCCGCCGUAACAC
rnacentral:rRNA from 1 species